CAGGUGAGGGCCACGCGGAAGUCGCGCCGGAUCGUACCCAUAUCCGCAGCAGGUCUCCAAGGUGAAGAGCCUCUAGUCGAUAGAAUAAUGUAGGUAAGGGAAGUCGGCAAAUUUGAUCCGUAACUUCGGAACAAGGAUUGGCUCUGAUGAUCGAGGCGUGUCGGGCUUGGUCAGGAUGUGGGUCAGUGUCAAGAAGUUCAGUAGUAGUAUCACGAGAACCGGGUAAUGCUGGGAUGCGUGCUAAAAACCUGGGCCUUGGCCUGCCACGGAUCGGCCUUGCUGCGGGAUAUCUGUUGACAGUGCACUGAGACUUGUGCUGAGUGUAAACGGGCAGAGUCUAUCCCAUCGGCCGUCAUUUAACGAUCCAUACAGAACUGGCACGGACUUGGAGAAUCCGACUGUUUAAUUAAAACAAAGCAUUGUGAUGGCUAUAGCUCAGUGUUUACGCAAUGUGAUUUCUGCCCAGUGCUCUGAAUGUCAAAGUGAAGAAAUUCAAGCUAAGCGCGGGUAAACGGCGGGAGUAACUAUGACUCUCUUAAGGUAGCCAAAUGCCUCGUCAUCUAAUUAGUGACGUGCAUGAAUGGAUUAACGAGAUUCUCACUGUCCCUAUCUACUAUCUAGCGAAACCACUGCCAAGGGAACGGGCUUGGAAAAAUCAGCGGGGAAAGAAGACCCUGUUGAGCUUGACUCUAGUCUGG
rnacentral:rRNA from 1 species